rnacentral:rRNA from 1 species
GAAAGUGACGGUACCUGCAGAAAAAGCGCCGGCUAACUACGUGCCAGCAGCCGCGGUAAUACGUAGGGCGCAAGCGUUAUCCGGAAUUAUUGGGCGUAAAGAGCUCGUAGGCGGUUUGUCGCGUCUGCUGUGAAAUCCGGAGGCUCAACCUCCGGCCUGCAGUGGGUACGGGCAGACUAGAGUGCGGUAGGGGAGAUUGGAAUUCCUGGUGUAGCGGUGGAAUGCGCAGAUAUCAGGAGGAACACCGAUGGCGAAGGCAGAUCUCUGGGCCGUAACUGACGCUGAGGAGCGAAAGGGUGGGGAGCAAACAGGCUUAGAUACCCUGGUAGUCCACCCCGUAAACGUUGGGAACUAGUUGUGGGGUCCAUUCCACGGAUUCCGUGACGCAGCUAACGCAUUAAGUUCCCCGCCUGGGGAGUACGGCCGCAAGGCUAAAACUCAAAGGAAUUGACGGGGACCCGCACAAGCGGCGGAGCAUGCGGAUUAAUUCGAUGCAACGCGAAGAACCUUACCAAGGCUUGACAUAUACGAGAACGGGCCAGAAAUGGUCAACUCUUUGGACACUCGUAAACAGGUGGUGCAUGGUUGUCGUCAGCUCGUGUCGUGAGAUGUUGGGUUAAGUCCCGCAACGAGCGCAACCCUCGUUCUAUGUUGCCAGCACGUAAUGGUGGGAACUCAUGGGAUACUGCCGGGGUCAACUCGGAGGAAGGUGGGGAUGACGUCAAAUCAUCAUGCCCCUUAUGUCUUGGGCUUCACGCAUGCUACAAUGGCCGGUACAAAGGGCUGCAAUACCGCGAGGUGGAGCGAAUCCCAAAAAGCCGGUCCCAGUUCGGAUUGAGGUCUGCAACUCGACCUCAUGAAGUCGGAGUCGCUAGUAAUCGCAGAUCAGCAACGCUGCGGUGAAUACGUUCCCGGGUCUUGUACACACCGCCCGUCAAGUCAUGAAAGUCGGUAACACCUGAAGCCGGUGGCCUAACCCUUGUGG